GGCCGCAGUAUAUUAACUGUGCAAAGGUAGCAUAAUCAUUAGUCUUUUAAUUGAAGGCUGGCAUGAAUGGUUGGACAAAAUAUUAACUGUUUCAUAAAAAUUUGUUUUAGAAUUUUAUUUUUUAGUUAAAAAGCUAAAAUUUAUUUAAAAGACGAGAAGACCCUAUAAAUCUUUAUAUUUAUAUUUAUAAUUUUUAUUUUUGAAAUAUUUAAUAAUUAUAAAUUAUAAUAUUUUAUUGGGGUGAUAUUAAAAUUUAAUAAACUUUUAAUUUUAUAUUUCAUUAAUUUAUGAAUAGUUGAUCCGUUAUUAACGAUUAAAAAUUUAAGUUACUUUAGGGAUAACAGCGUAAUUUUUUUGGCGAGUUCUUAUUAAUAAAAAAGAUUGCGACCUCGAUGUUGGAUU
rnacentral:rRNA from 1 species